rnacentral:rRNA from 1 species
AAACUAGAUAUGACUUAGUGGCGGACGGGUGAGUAACACGUGAGCAACCUGCCUUUCAGAGGGGGAGUAACAGUUGGAAAGGACUGCUAAUACCGCAUGACACAUUGGGGUCGCAUGGCUCUGAUGUCAAAGAUUUAUCGCUGAAAGAUGGCCUCGCGUCUGAUUAGCUAGUUGGUGAGGUAACGGCCCACCAAGGCGACGAUCAGUAGCCGGACUGAGAGGUUGAACGGCCACAUUGGGACUGAGAUACGGCCCAGACUCC